rnacentral:tRNA from 1 species
GGGGGUGGAUUGGUCCCGGUGGGCUGCGCGGGCUUCAAACCCGUUGGUGGGCACGCUGAGUGUCCACGGUGGGUUCGACUCCCAUCCACUCCCGCCA